rnacentral:rRNA from 1 species
UACGAAGGGGGCUAGCGUUGCUCGGAAUCACUGGGCGUAAAGCGCACGUAGGCGGAUCUUUAAGUCAGGGGUGAAAUCCUGGAGCUCAACUCCAGAACUGCCUUUGAUACUGAGGAUCUUGAGUCCGGGAGAGGUGAGUGGAACUCCGAGUGUAGAGGUGAAAUUCGUAGAUAUUCGGAAGAACACCAGUCGGCGGAGGC